UGUGUAGAAUAAAUAGGUUAUGUGAGCA
rnacentral:piRNA from 1 species